AUCGAUGAAGAACGCAGCGAAAUGCGAUAAGUAAUGUGAAUUGCAGAAUUCAGUGAAUCAUCGAAUCUUUGAACGCACAUUGCGCCCGCUAGUAUUCUGGCGGGCAUGCCUGUCCGAGCGUCAUUUCAACCCUCAAGCCCCCGGGCUUGGUGUUGGG
rnacentral:rRNA from 1 species